CCUUAGAGUUUGAUCCUGGCUCAGGAUGAACGCUAGCUACAGGCUUAACACAUGCAAGUCGAGGGGCAGCAUGUCGGUUGCUUGCAACCGAUGAUGGCGACCGGCGCACGGGUGAGUAACGCGUAUCCAACCUACCCUUGUCCAUCGGAUAACCCGUCGAAAGGCGGCCUAACACGAUAUGCGGUUCACAGCAGGCAUCUAACGUGAACGAAAUGUGAAGGAGAAGGAUGGGGAUGCGUCUGAUUAGCUUGUUGGCGGGGUAACGGCCCACCAAGGCUACGAUCAGUAGGGGUUCUGAGAGGAAGGUCCCCCACAUUGGAACUGAGACACGGUCCAAACUCCUACGGGAGGCAGCAGUGAGGAAUAUUGGUCAAUGGACGAGAGUCUGAACCAGCCAAGUAGCGUGCAGGAUGACGGCCCUAUGGGUUGUAAACUGCUUUUAUAGGGGGAUAAAGUGUGCCACGUGUGGCAUAUUGCAGGUACCCUAUGAAUAAGGACCGGCUAAUUCCGUGCCAGCAGCCGCGGUAAUACGGAAGGUCCAGGCGUUAUCCGGAUUUAUUGGGUUUAAAGGGAGCGUAGGCCGUUUGGUAAGCGUGUUGUGAAAUGUCGGGGCUCAACCUGGGCAUUGCAGCGCGAACUGCCAGACUUGAGUGCGCAGGAAGUAGGCGGAAUUCGUCGUGUAGCGGUGAAAUGCUUAGAUAUCACGAAGAACUCCGAUUGCGAAGGCAGCUCACGGGAGCGCAACUGACGCUGAAGCUCGAAAGUGCGGGUAUCGAACAGGAUUAGAUACCCUGGUAGUCCGCACGGUAAACGAUGGAUGCCCGCUGUUGGCUUGAAUUAGUCAGCGGCCAAGCGAAAGCAUUAAGCAUCCCACCUGGGGAGUACGCCGGCAACGGUGAAACUCAAAGGAAUUGACGG
rnacentral:rRNA from 1 species